rnacentral:rRNA from 1 species
GGAAAACUUACCAGGUCCAGACAUAAUGAGGAUUGACAGAUUGAGAGCUCUUUCUUGAUUUUAUGGGUGGUGGUGCAUGGCCGUUCUUAGUUGGUGGAGUGAUUUGUCUGGUUAAUUCCGUUAACGAACGAGACCCCCGCCUGCUAAAUAGGUCCGUGAAUGAAUUUCAUUGACGAGAUCUUCUUAGAGGGACUUUUGGUGACUAACCAAAGGAAGUUGGGGGCAAUAA